rnacentral:rRNA from 1 species
UACGGAGGGGGCUAGCGUUGUUCGGAAUUACUGGGCGUAAAGCGCACGUAGGCGGCUUUGUAAGUUAGAGGUGAAAGCCCUGGGCUCAACCCAGGAAGUGCACUCGAAACUGGGAGGCUAGAGUACUGGAGAGGUUGGUGGAAUUCUCGGUGUAGAGGUGAAAUUCGUAGAUAUCGAGAGGAACACCGGUGGCGAAGGCGGCCAACUGGACAGAUACUGACGCUGGGACACGAAAGCGUGGGGAGCAAACAGG